rnacentral:misc_RNA from 1 species
AACUUCCUGGUACACAAACAUGGCGGGAGUGAGGUGGCUGAUACUUACUGCGGCUGUGUCAGGGUGGUGGAUUCAACUCAUACUGGGUACCAGCUGCCCAGGAGGAAUGUUCGGAGACACAUGUAGCUACUCAUGCCACUGUACACCGCCCUGUAACCAGACAACUGGAGUCUGUAACGGUGCAUGUGAUCGUGGUUGGUUUGAUGGGAAUGGGCAAACUUGUCAGAGAGAGAACGUUGCCUUCCACAAGACGGCAACUUCGUCCCCAACUGACUAUGCGUCUAAAGGCUGGACUGCAGACAAAGCCGUGGAUGGGAACCGGGACCAGGAUAUGUUCAACGGCCCCUGCUUUCACUCUCAUUCUACGGCACGUAACCCUACGUGGACAGUUGACCUGGGACAGCCGUACAGGAUACACGACGUCAGGAUAUACAACAGGGCAGGAUAUCCUCAGUUGAUCAGGGCUGCUGUCCUCACACUGAGUAACUCCAGCAGCUCCACACCCGGCGUCACCUGCUACACCUUCCCCUCUGGCACAGCUAAAACUAUCAACAGCGUGUACGACGUGACGUGUGACGGCACAGGGAGAUACUUCACCAUCAAACACAGCAAUAAACCACUAAAUCUGUGUGAGGUGGAGAUUUAUGUUUGCAGCCCAGGAGUCUUUGGCGAUAGCUGCAAUCAGUUCUGCCACUGCUUCCAAGCAACGUGUGACCCAGUCAGCGGUGUGUGUCCUGGAGACUGUAGACCAGGGUGGCAGGGAGAGAGAUGUGAUACAGUGUGCCCAAAUGGAAGUUAUGGGCCGAAGUGCAACAACAUGUGCACUGAUAGGAAUUGUGCAGGAGACUCGCCAUGUGAUCACAUAAGCGGGACAUGUGUUUCUGGGUGUGAAGCUGGAUGGAUGGGUGACGACUGCAUAGAGGCAUGUUCAAAUGGAAGCUAUGGACAGAACUGCAAGAACUCGUGUCAAGAUAGGAAGUGUGCUGGGGACUCGUCAUGUGAUCACAUUAGAGGGGCAUGUGUUUCCGGGUGUGAGCCAGGUUGGAUGGGUGAAGAUUGUAGAGAAGCAUGCUCCAAUGGAAGCUAUGGACAGAACUGCAAGAACUCGUGUGAUGACAGGAAGUGUGCUGGAGACUCGCCCUGUGAUCACAUUAGAGGGACAUGUGUUUCCGGGUGUGAGCCAGGUUGGAUGGGUGAAGAUUGUAGAGAAGCAUGCUCAAAUGGAAGCUAUGGACAGAACUGCAAGAACUCGUGUAAUGACAGGAAGUGUGCUGGGGACUCUUCAUGUGAUCACAUUAGAGGGACAUGUGUUUCCGGGUGUGAGCCAGGUUGGAUGGGUGAAGAUUGUAGAGAAGCCUGUGACAUUGGACGUUACGGAGCUAACUGUGACAAGACUUGCGUCUCCAGACAGUGUGUGGGGAACUCUUCCUGUAACUCAACAGGGGACUGUGACACCGGGUGUGAGACAAGGUGGUCAGGAGCGGACUGCACAGUACAAAUCCAAGCUUCUACAUCCCCGGCUGUGCCUGUCGCGGCAGUUGGUGGUGCUGUGGCCGGCCUUGUCCUGUUGGUCCUGGUGCUGGUCCUCCUCAUCAUCAUCAGGAGGAGACGAAACAGAGGGAAUAAGUCUCCUGAUGGACCAGUAUAUGAUGAGACAUCUCCAAGGAAUAGAAAGCUCCAAGGUGCUGAUAACGUUUACAUGAAUGUUGGGUUUGAGGAGAACAAAUCCGUGUCCAAGAAAGGACACACUCUGACAAUGGGUGACAAAGACCACGGCCAUCCAGAGCACCAGAAGGAAGCUGAUUCCCAGAGUGUGGCCAACCAAGAGGAAGACGACAAGGACGCCAAUGUUGACAUACAUCCGAAGGGGGAAGCAGUAUCGGGUGUCUCAGGAUGUAGCUAUUACAACUUAGGCGACCUUGGUCACGUGAUUCCCUUGUCUUCUCUUGAGGCAAGAGUACGUGAAAUUGAAAAUCAUCCCCAAGAGGCAUUCGAGCGCUUGCCAGGCGGAUUUACCCACAGCUACGUAGAAUCUCAGAAGGCAGGGAACAAAGGGAAGAAUAGAUUCAAGGGAUACUAUCCAUAUGACUACAACCGUGUGGUGUUGCACAACGACAGUGACGGCAGUAGAGGCGACUACAUCAACGCCAGCUACCUAGAUGGAUAUAAAACUGACAAUCGAUACAUUGCAGCACAAGGUCCCUACAAGUCGGACAUUGUCGGGGAUUUCUGGAGGAUGAUUUGGCAAGAAGGUUGCACGUCUAUUGUCAUGGUAACAGGGUUGGUGGAAGCCGGCAAGGUGAAGUGCCUUCAGUAUUGGCCUUCGGAGAAAGGAUCAGAGAAGUUUGGUGACGUUAUGGUUACUGUGGAAACAGAGACACGACUAGCCAACUACACCAUCACCAAGUUGGCUGUUGAGAAUGAAAAGGAAAGCGAGAGACGGGAUGUCUGCCACCUUCACUUCACCAGCUGGCCAGAUCAUGGUGUGCCGGACACUGCUGCCCUGCUGGACUUCAUGUGGAGGGUCAAGGUCAUAUCUGGACAACAAACAGAGCCGAUCAUAGUCCACUGCAGUGCUGGCAUAGGUCGGACAGGGACGUACAUCGCUAUCGAGAGUCUUGUGGAACAGGCUAAGACAGAGGGCGUUGUAGACGUCGUCAGCUUCGUCUCCAACAUGAGAGGGCAGAGGAAGAACAUGAUUCAGACAAAGGAGCAGUACCUGUUCGUGUAUCAGGCGGUGGCGAGGGCGGUUGCAGAGGGUGACACGUCACUGGAUUGUGACGUCAUCAGAGAAAUGAACCUGGAUGACGUGUCAGACUUUGCUAUGGGAAAUAGGACUGUUCAACAACAUAUCAAGGUCUUUCAAAGUGAAUUUCAAGACCAACCCGACGAUUCACCCUUCAAGACUGUACCAUCAUAUACAUCGCGGAAUGGUUUCGUUAUCAUGACGUCACUUCCGAACAAAGAGGAAGUGUGGGAGACACUUUACAAUAGUGACUGCCGAAGUAUAUUCACGUACCCUACACAUGAUCAGUGUUAUCUACCAACAUCUGAAACUUCAGUGACAACCAUGAGGAUAGUGGCGAGGUCACUGUUAUACAACACUACCACAACACCGGAAGUGCACGUGACGCGGAACUUGAUUUGCUUAUUGAUAGCUUUCUGACAUGGACCAAUGAUCCGGAACGAGUCUGCAGCAUGAUCAUUUCUGACUGUAUGAGCGAGUGUCGACUCCUGGUGCUUCUUGUGAACAUCGCCAGCAGACUGCAGGACGACGGUAGAGUGGACGUCAUCAACAACAUGCGACAACUUUACACACGUCUGGGAGGUCCACCAUUCACAGAGGCUGACGUGAGACUAUGUCUGGAGUUUACUCAGCGGCGACUGGAGACACGUGGAGUUUACGCCAACAUGUGACAACAAGAACCGAAUCUUCCAUGGAAGCGACUGUAUGAAACAGUGGCCUAAAGGAAACGUUCAAUAUUAUAGAGAAACAAUGACAUAUCAUCACAGCUUACCAAUAUUCUGUAAGACUGCAACUUUAAGGACAUCAUACCGUCAAAAAUGAAACAUACCGGAAGCUCCAUCCUUGAAUUCCAUUUUAUUAGGGAAAAUAAUUUUCAUAGUUUUAAUUUUGUUACAUUCACAAUAUUUUUAUGAACUUGAUAUUUUGCGUUGUAUUAUUCAUGACCUCUUGUUGCAAGGCAAAACCUGGUUUUCUGGUUGCACUCGUAGCAAAUUAUUUUUUAUGAAAUCCAUAUGCACAUCUUUUUUAUUUUCUCUUUCCGAUUUGUAUGUGAUAUAUUGCUGGUAAAGCGAAUGAGAUUUCUAGAUGCACAUGGACGUUAUUUCUCUAUUAUAUAUUAUAUAUAUUAUGAAAGUCGCAAAGUAUAAAAAAAAACAAUUUGAUAUCUUUGUAAAAACGCAAAAAGAGUGUGCACGGUUUUUUUAGAAUUUGAUAUUUAUUGCAUAGAGAUUGAUUUGAUUUAACGAAAUUACAGAAAUAUGGACAGGUUCUUUCAAAUGUUUUGAUUCGAUUCUUGUGAAGACAGAUACUGAGUAUGCAUUUACUUUGGGUUUUACUAGCAAGGUAACUUGGCAGAAGAAAGCUAUUCUAAAAGUUUUAAAAAUUUAAACUAGCUGCAAUUUAGCUAGCAAAUAUAUUUUGAUUGGACAAGCGAUGUCAUUCCAGAGAUUUAUUGUGAAAUGUCUACAAAUUAACACUAAGGCUGGGCUGGUGUGUCAGCUAAAACAAUUAUCAACCAUACGUUAUUCUGUGUAACUCAGAAUCAUAACUCCUCUUGCGAGUAGAUCUCCAGCUGUCAGCCUCAAAUAAAUAAGGCCUCAAA